AUUGAGCACUUAAUGUGUUUGCAUGUCUGCUAUUUAAUCUCCAUGUGAAAGUUAAAAGAUUUUUUUUUUAAACACCAUUCUUUCUCCCAUAUAAAGUGGGCUCUCAGAAGCACAAGCAGAGAUACUUACCUAUGGAAGACAUUUUUUUACUGUAAUCGUGCAUUGGAUUGCAAAUGCCAGUUGAGUCAGAUGUUAGAAAUUUACUAGAUGUAUGAUGUUCCAUAGUAGAAUAAGACUCUUUUAUCAUUUUGUUCUUUCUAAAAAUAAGAAAAAAGAAAGCUAAGUAUGAUAGCAAACUGUCUUUGCUUAUGUCCUGCCAGAUGUGUAACCUCAAAAUAAAAGUAGAUGAUCAACAAUAAGAUGAUGAUGAUGAUAAUGAAUAAACAAAGUGCU
rnacentral:lncRNA from 1 species